AGGUGCGAUCAUACUAGCGUUAAUGCAUCGAAUCCCAUCAGAAAUCCCCAGUUAAGUGCGCUAGGGCUAGAGUAGUACUGGGAUGGGUGACCUCCUAGGAAGUCCUAGUGUUGAACCAU
rnacentral:rRNA from 1 species